rnacentral:rRNA from 1 species
UACGGAGGGUGCAAGCGUUAUCCGGAUUCACUGGGUUUAAAGGGUGCGUAGGUGGGCAGGUAAGUCCGUGGUGAAAUCUCUGAGCUUAACUCAGAAACUGCCGUGGAUACUAUUUGUCUUGAAUACCGUGGAGGUCAGCGGAAUAUGUCAUGUAGCGGUGAAAUGCUUAGAUAUGACAUAGAACACCAAUUGCGAAGGCAGCUGCUACACGAAUAUUGACACUGAUGCACGAAAGCGUGGGGAUCAAACAGG